GGCCAGGUCAGCGGUCAAGCUGGCAGGUCCAGACUCGCAAGAACGACCCAGAGGGCUUGUUCAGGCUGGGUUUCUCAGCCCCCCACUGCGUCUGCUUCUGUGGGUCUCGCUGGGCCCCGGAACCUGCAUUGCUGCUGCGGGGGUCUGGGUCUGAGGGCGCGGCUCUCCCUGCUGGGUGGGAUGUGGGAGGCGGCAGACCCUGCUCCUGGGGGCAGUUGGUCUGGAGUGGUGACAGGGUGGCCCUGGGCAGGGUGUGGCCGGUUCCCUCUUGCCUGUGUUGAAGCAUGGACUCCUCUGGGCCCUCAGCCAUCAGCCCAGCCUCCCUCACGGAAGAUGGAGAAUUCCAGACAAAGCUCAUCCUUCCUCCAGGAAAGCCUGCUCCAUCUGCAGUAAUUGACGGCCUGAGAAGCUCUGCUCUUGGGCUGAACCCCAAGCAGGAGGAGGCCGGGGUCCUCAGGAGCAGCAGGGAGUCUCAGGACAGGAUGGCCAGGGCCAGAGGUCACCUGGUGAGGCGGACAUGUACUCCCAACCUGGGAGGUGUGGGGACUGCAAGAGAAACAGAGCUGGCAGUGGGAGGCUGGACGUGGUAGGCAAUGCCGGUCCUGCAUCCGGGCCCAUGACCGUUCUCACGGCGGCGAGCUGUGAUGGGGAGGCUGCCUUCCAGGUGCCAAGGUUAGAAAACCAAUCCCGGGCAGCCCUGCCGGGAGAAAGCUGGUAUUCUACAAAGGCGCGUGAAGAGGCGAACACGCA
rnacentral:lncRNA from 1 species